CCUAUAAACUGAACGACGUUGAAAAUACCAAAUCUCGUCCGAUCACUGAAGUUAAGAGCCAUCGGGCGUGACCAGUAUUCGGAUGGCUGAUCGUCUAAAAAAAUUACGUGUUAUUAGUU
rnacentral:rRNA from 1 species